GAUGAAGAACGCAGCGAAAUGCGAUAAGUAAUGUGAAUUGCAGAAUUCAGUGAAUCAUCGAAUCUUUGAACGCAUCUUGCGCCCCUUGGUAUUCCGAGGAGCAUGCCUGUUUCAGUGUCACGUAAACCCUCACACUUGUGAUGUUACAGUUACAAGCUGUGGAUUUGGACCGUGCCGUAGUCGGCUCGUCCUGAAAUGCAUUAGCUUGCGCUUAUUAGAGUGCUUGGCAUUGGUGUGAUAAUUAUCUGCGCCGUCGCCUUAUGCCUCUUCGGAAGUGCUGCUUCUAAUCGUCCGCAUGGACAACAUAAUUCUUUGGCCUGAAAUCAGGUAGGACUACCCGCUGAACUUAAGCAUAUCAAUAAGCGGAGGGA
rnacentral:misc_RNA from 1 species